AUUGAACGCUGGCGGCAGGCUUAACACAUGCAAGUCGAGCGGAGAUGAGGUGCUUGCACCUUAUCUUAGCGGCGGACGGGUGAGUAAUGCUUAGGAAUCUGCCUAUUAGUGGGGGACAACAUUCCGAAAGGAAUGCUAAUACCGCAUACGUCCUACGGGAGAAAGCAGGGGAUCUUCGGACCUUGCGCUAAUAGAUGAGCCUAAGUCGGAUUAGCUAGUGGGUGGGGUAAAGGCCUACCAAGGCGACGAUCUGUAGCGGGUCUGAGAGGAUGAUCCGGCACACUGGGACUGAGACACGGCCCAGGCUCCUACGGGAGGCAGCAGUGGGGAAUAGUGGACAAUGGGGGGAACCCUGAUCCAGCCAUGCCGCGUGUGUGAAGAAGGCCUUAUGGUUGUAAAGCACUUUAAGCGAGGAGGAGGCUACUGAGACUAAUACUCUUGGAUAGUGGACGUUACUCGCAGAAUAAGCACCGGCUAACUCUGUGCCAGCCGCCGCAGUAAUAC
rnacentral:rRNA from 1 species